UACGUAGGUGGCAAGCGUUGUCCGGAUUUAUUGGGUUUAAAGGGUGCGUAGGCGGCUUUGUAAGUCAGUGGUGAAAUACUCCAGCUUAACUGGAGGGGUGCCAUUGAUACUGCGGAGCUUGAGUACAGAUGAGGUAGGCGGAAUUGACGGUGUAGCGGUGAAAUGCAUAGAUAUCGUCAAGAACACCGAUAGCGAAGGCAGCUUACUGGGCUGUAACUGACGCUGAUGCACGAAAGUGUGGGGAUCAAACAGG
rnacentral:rRNA from 1 species